UCAUCCCUGGGCAAGUGAAAGCAGGCUGAGCAAGCAGUGAAGCCAGCCAGCAAGCAGCUCUUCUCCAUGGCUUCUCUUAGUUCUCGCCUCCGGUUCCCACCCUAAUUUCCCUCAGCGAUGGACAGUUAGAUACUGGCAGCUAUAAGGUGCGAUAACUUUUCCUCCUCAUGUCUGUUUUAGUCAUGGUGUCUUAUCACAGCAGACAGAAAGUCUUUCCAAUAUUUGCUCCGAAGCCCCAGCUCGAGUAGAGCAGCAGCAAUAAAUUGAGGCAUUCUGGUGUGAGGCCUGGGAGUGCGGUGGUGAAAGUAACUCUUCCAGCCUCUCCAGCUGAUGGGCCAGCUUCAUUCUGCCCUGAGGGGCCCAUGGAGGCUCGAGAACUAACAAGUCCCUUAGUACACGGUGAAUGCUCUCCAUCCACCUGGUUCUAAUUCUUAGUCCCGAUUCUGCCUCUAGGACACCGAGUCCUGGUGUCUGUGCAAAAGAGUUGCCUGCUCCAGAUGGAUGGGUACAUUGAGUGCUCAGCUCAUUUCACCCUUGGGGCUUCCUGUGAAGCAAAGUGGAUUAAAGAGUCGUCCCCCCCCCACCUCCCACAGUUACUCCUAAACCCCAUACCUGCAAGCAUGAUCCUAUUUAGUGUCCACAGAGGCCAUUAAGGAUCUGAAGAUGUGAUCAUCUUACAACGAGGACAGUCUGUAAUCUACUGCCAGGGUCUAAAUGAGAAAGGAAAGAAGCUCUAAGCCAGACACAGGGAGAAGGCCACCUGAGACCCAAGAAGACCAGAGACGUGUACCAUAAGGAGGAGCCACCUGGAGCUGCAGAAGUGAGGGAGGCUCCUGCAGCCUGUGCCCCUCCCUCACAUCCUUGGUCCUCAGAGCCCUUACAGCUAGAGGGGUCCUAUUCUGGAUAGCUCAAGCCCCAUCAAGCAACUUUGACACCCCUCUGCAACUAACCGGCUGUCUAGCCCAGCCCAGGCCAGCUAAGGUCACUCUGCAUUCUGUAAAGAAAAGACCUGCAGCCCAACGUGAUAGUGUACCAGUUUGUUUCUCUGUUGAUGCAAUAAAACAUUGAUCAAAAGCAA
ensembl:lincRNA Gm29483 predicted gene 29483